UACGUAGGGUGCAAGCGUUGUCCGGAAUUAUUGGGCGUAAAGAGCUCGUAGGCGGUUUGUCGCGUCGACUGUGAAAACUGGGGGCUUAACUCUCAGCUUGCAGUUGAUACGGGCAGACUUGAGUUCGGUAGGGGAGACUGGAAUUCCUGGUGUAGCGGUGAAAUGCGCAGAUAUCAGGAGGAACACCGGUGGCGAAGGCGGGCCUCUGGGCAGUAACUGACGCUGAGGAGCGAAAGCGUGGGGAGCGAACAGG
rnacentral:rRNA from 1 species